CCGUCGCACCUACCGAUUGAAUGAUUCGGUGAAGCUUUCGGAUUACGCCAUCAGCCUCGGCCGACGGCGUGAGAAGUUAUCUAAACCUCAUCAUUUAGAGGAAGGUGAAGUCGUAACAAGGUUUCCGUAGGUGAACCUGCGGAAGG
rnacentral:rRNA from 1 species